rnacentral:rRNA from 1 species
CGGACGGGUGAGUAACGCGUAAGAACUUGCCCUUUAGACUGGGAUAACAGAGGGAAACUUCUGAUAAUACUGGAUAAGUUAGUAUAUCGCAUGAUAUGCAAAUGAAAGCUACGGCACUAAAGGAGAGCUUUGCGUCCUAUUAGCUAGUUGGUAAGGUAAGAGCUUACCAAGGCGAUGAUAGGUAGCCGGCCUGAGAGGGUGGACGGCCACAAGGGGACUGAGAUACGGCCCUUACUCCUACGGGAGGCAGCAGUC